UGGGGUAGAGCUCAGUGGCAGAGAGAGUGCUUAGCACGUACGAGGUACUGGGUUCAAUCCCCAGUACCUCCA
rnacentral:tRNA from 1 species